rnacentral:rRNA from 1 species
CCCUCCCUCUUUCUUCAUGCCUAACACAUGCAAGUCGAACGAGACCUUCGGGUCUAGUGGCGCACGGGUGCGUAACGCGUGGGAACCUGCCCUUAGGUUCGGAAUAACUCCCCGAAAGGGGUGCUAAUACCGGAUAAUGUCUUCGGACCAAAGAUCUAUCGCCUUUGGAUGGGCCCGCGUUGGAUUAGCUAGUUGGUAGGGUAAAAGCCUACCAAGGCGACGAUCCAUAGCUGGUCUGAGAGGAUGAUCAGCCACACUGGGACUGAGACACGGCCCAGACUCCUACGGGAGGCAGCAGUGGGGAAUAUUGGACAAUGGGCGAAAGCCUGAUCCAGCAAUGCCGCGUGAGUGAUGAAGGCCUUAGGGUUGUAAAGCUCUUUUACCCGGGAUGAUAAUGACAGUACCGGGAGAAUAAGCGCCGGCUAACUCCGUG